rnacentral:tRNA from 2 species
GGUGUUAUGGCAGAGAGGUUAUUGCGGAGUACUGUUAAUACUUUAUUCAUAGGUUCGAUUCCUAUUAACACCU